CUUAAAGGUUUGGUCCCAGCCUUCCUAUUAGUUGUUAGCAAAAUUACACAUGCAAGUAUCCGCAUUCCUGUGAGAAUACCCUCGUAAAUCAUAUAUGAUUAAAAGGAGUAGGUAUCAAGCACACUCUUAUUGAGUAGCUUAUGACACCUUGCUUAGCCACACCCCCACGGGUAACAGCAGUGAUAAAAAUUAAGCAAUAAACGAAAGUUUGACUAAGUUAUGCUAACACAGGGUUGGUAAAUUUCGUGCCAGCCACCGCGGUCAUACGAUUAACCCAAAUUAAUAGGCAACGGCGUAAAGCGUGUUAAAGAAUUCUACACACAAAUAAAGAUAAAACUUAACUAGGCUGUAGAAAGCAACAGUUAAAACUAAAAUAAACUACGAAAGUGACUUUAUCAUAACUGAUCACACGAUAGCUAAGACCCAAACUGGGAUUAGAUACCCCACUAUGCUUAGCCCUAAACUUAGGUAUUUAGUCUAACAAAAAUACCCGCCAGAGAACUACUAGCAAUAGCUUAAAACUCAAAGGACUUGGCGGUGCUUUAUAUCCCUCUAGAGGAGCCUGUUCUGUAAUCGAUAAACCCCGAUAAACCUCACCACCCCUUGCUAAUUCAGCUUAUAUACCGCCAUCUUCAGCAAACCCUAAAAAGGUAUAAUAGUAAGCACAAGUAUAGGACAUAAAAACGUUAGGUCAAGGUGUAGCUUAUGGGGUGGGAAGAAAUGGGCUACAUUUUCUAUUAAUUAGAACAUUCACGAAAGUUAUUAUGAAACUAAUAACUAAAGGAGGAUUUAGUAGUAAGUUAAGAAUAGAGUGCUUAACUGAAUUAGGCCAUGAAGCACGCACACACCGCCCGUCACCCUCUUCAAGUACUUAGACUGUAAACAAUCUAUAAAAUUUCAAGUCACCCAGUAUUAGAAGAGAUAAGUCGUAACAAGGUAAGCAUACUGGAAAGUGUGCUUGGACGAAU
rnacentral:ncRNA from 1 species